GACGAACGCUGGCGGCGUGCUUAACACAUGCAGGUCGAACGGAAAGGCCCUGCUUUUGUGGGGUGCUCGAGUGGCGAACGGGUGAGUAACACGUGAGUAACCUGCCCUUGACUUUGGGAUAACUUCAGGAAACUGGGGCUAAUACCGGAUAGGAGCUCCUGCUGCAUGGUGGGGGUUGGAAAGUUUCGGCGGUUGGGGAUGGACUCGCGGCUUAUCAGCUUGUUGGUGGGGUAGUGGCUUACCAAGGCUUUGACGGGUAGCCGGCCUGAGAGGGUGACCGGCCACAUUGGGACUGAGAUACGGCCCAGACUCCUACGGGAGGCAGCAGUGGGGAAUAUUGCACAAUGGGCGGAAGCCUGAUGCAGCAACGCCGCGUGCGGGAUGACGGCCUUCGGGUUGUAAACCGCUUUCGCCUGCGACGAAGCGUGAGUGACGGUAAUGGGUAAAGAAGCACCGGCUAACUACGUG
rnacentral:rRNA from 1 species